rnacentral:tRNA from 1 species
GCGGGUAUGGUUCAAUGGUAGCUUUCCAAGCUUUUGACGGGGGUUCGAUUCCCCCUACCCGCU